rnacentral:other from 1 species
CUCUCCCUGCGCUGUUGGUGCAAGCCUUAGGUGUUUUGAGCCAACACCUUUUUUGAGGGAGUUCGAGUCGCGGUUGCACGCACAUGCCACUCACAUUGUUGACGUGGACUUGCAAACAGACUGCGCAGGACACCCACCUGCGAGAGCAGGUUCAAAACGGAAGGUUUCACGGCAGGUGCGGGGUAGCC